rnacentral:piRNA from 1 species
UGCUGUUUCCUAUGCCUCUGGGACUC